AUUGAACGCUGGCGGCAUGCUUUACACAUGCAAGUCGAACGGUAACAGGCCUUCGGGUGCUGCCUUGUGGCGAACGGGCGAGUAAUGCAUCGGAACGUGCCCAGCGGCGGGGGAUAACGCAGCGAAAGCUGUGCUAAUACCGCAUGUGAUCUGAGGAUGAAAGCGGGGGACCAAGCAGCAAUGUUUGGCCUCGCGCCUCUGGAGCGGCCGAUGUCAGAUUAGGUAGUUGGUGGGGUAAAGGCCCACCAAGCCGACGAUCUGUAGCUGGUCUGAGAGGACGACCAGCCACACUGGGACUGAGACACGGCCCAGACUCCUACGGGAGGCAGCAGUGGGGAAUUUUGGACAAUGGGCGCAAGCCUGAUCCAGCAAUGCCGCGUGCGGGAAGAAGGCCUUCGGGUUGUAAACCGCUUUUGUACGGAACGAAAAGGCUCUGGCUAAUACCUGGGGCUGAUGACGGUACCGUAAGAAUAAGCACCGGCUAACUACGUG
rnacentral:rRNA from 1 species